rnacentral:lncRNA from 1 species
CUUGAACUAGAUUAGGGCUAGUUUUAGGAUUAGUGUUAGUGUUAGGGCUAGUGUUAGGGUGAGAUUUAGGCUAAGGGUUAAGGUUGGACUUAGAGUUAUGGUUAGUUCUAGGGUUAGGGCUAGGGCUAGUGUUGGAGCUAAGGUUAGGGCAAGUGUUAUGGUUAUAAUAAGGAAUAGGGUUAGAUCUAGGAAUAGGGCUAGGGUGAGAAUUAGAAUUAGUCUUAAUGCUAGUGGUAGGGUUAGGGCUAAAUUUGGGCUAGGAUCAGGUCUAGGAUUAGUGUAAGUGUUAAAUCUGGAGUUAGGGUUAGAUUUGGGGGAAAGGAUGGGGUUAUAGCAAGGUUGAGAACUAGGGUGAGGGAUGGAAUUAGGGAUAGGGCUAUAGUUAGGGUUUGGGGUAGGAUCAAGGCUAGUUAUAGGGCUAGGAUGAUGGCUAGUGUUUGUGUUAGGGUUAUGGCAAGAAUUAGGGCUAGGGCUAAUAUCAGGUCUAGGGUUAAGGUUAGGAAUAGUUUGGGGUAAGAUUUCUGGCUAGGUUUAGUGUCAGAGUAAGGUUUAGGGUGAGGUUCAAGUUGAGAGCUAGGGGAAUUAUAAUAGUCAGAGUCAGGUUUUGGGUUUGGGUGAGGUUGAGGUUUAGGGUUAUGGCUCAAAUUAGCAUCAGGUUUGAGUUAGAGUUAGGAUAAUGGAUAAGGUUAGGUUUAGGCUUCAGGUUAGAUUUAGGGCUCAG